rnacentral:lncRNA from 1 species
UGGACGGACAGACGGAAGGAUGGGCGGAUGGACAGAUCCACCGUCGAUUGAUGGAUCGACGGGUCAAGGGGACGGACAAAGAGACGGACAGAAGGACGGACGGACGGACGGAGCCACGGAUUGAUGGAGAAAUGGGUGCUCGGAUGGGUGGAGGGGGGUGGAUGGACGGACAGAAGGACGGAUAGAUGGACCGACGGACUGAUGGAUCCGCGGGGACGUGGCUGGACGUUUGGAUGGACGGACAGACGGAAGGGCAGAAGGACGGACAGACGGGUCAGCAAACCCAUCUGCGGAUCGGGGGGGAGAGACGGAGAAAUGAAAGGACGGGCGAAGAGGUGGACGGACAGACGGACGCACAGAGGGAUGGAGAUCGACCAACGGGUCAAUGGACGGACAAAGAGGCAGACGGAAGGACAGAGACGGACGGACCAACGGAUCGGUGGAGAGAGAGACGGACAGACGGACGGGCGGAGAUCAACCGAUGGCUCGACGGAGAAACAAAAUCGAUGGGACGGCCGACGGAACGGACGGAUGGAUUCAGCAACGGAUCGGUCAAGAAACGGACGGACGGACGGACGGACGGGACAGACGGACAGACGGACGGACAGAACACCUCCCCCCCCCCCCCCCCCCCCCCCCCCCCCCAUCAUCCUCACCCUCGGGAUCCAGCAGUUUGCUGAGCCCCAGGUGCUGCUCGGCCGUGUUGAAGGCGUUCUGCAGGUUGUAGGUGGCGUUGGAUUUGGUCAACUUCUGAAAGUCCACGAGAUCCGGCCUGCGGGUGGGACGAACCCAAAUCCGGCGUCUUUCACCCCAAAAAUCACCUCCCCCCCCUCUCCCACCUCCUCCCUUCCUCCCCUCCCCCAUCCGAAACCCAACAACCGACCGGUGUUUAUGGAUGAGAGCGUUGAACGCCAACCCGUCCCUCCAACUGGUGGUGAAGUUCUGGAUGUUCACCUCUGGGUACCUAUGGGAAGGAUGGGGGAUUUUGGGGAGGGGGGGGGGUCAGCAGA